UAGCAUAUCAUAGGGGAGGAAAAAACCACAGGGAUUGCCCUAGUAACGGCGAGUGAAGCGGCAACAGCUCAAAUUUGAAAUCUGGCUCUUUUAGAGUCCGAGUUGUAAUUUGCAGAGGGCGCUUUGGCUUUGGCAGCGGUCCAAGUUCCUUGGAACAGGACGUCACAGAGGGUGAGAAUCCCGUACGUGGUCGCUAGCUAUUGCCGUGUAAAGCCCCUUUCGACGAGUCGAGUUGUUUGGGAAUGCAGCUCUAAAUGGGAGGUAAAUUUCUUCUAAAGCUAAAUAUUGGCCAGAGACCGAUAGCGCACAAGUAGAGUGAUCGAAAGAUGAAAAGCACUUUGGAAAGAGAGUCAAACAGCACGUGAAAUUGUUGAAAGGGAAGCGCUUGCAGCCAGACUUGCUUGCAGUUGCUCAUCCGGGCUUUUGCCCGGUGCACUCUUCUGCAGGCAGGCCAGCAUCAGUUUGGGCGGUGGGAUAAAGGUCUCUGACACGUUCCUUCCUUCGGGUUGGCCAUAUAGGGGAGACGUCAUACCACCAGCCUGGACUGAGGUCCGCGCAUCUGCUAGGAUGCUGGCGUAAUGGCUGUAAGCGGCCCGUCUUGAAACACGGACCAAGGAGUCUAACAUCUAUGCGAGUGUUUGGGUGUCAAGCCCGAGCGCGUAAUGAAAGUGAACGGAGGUGGGAACCCGCAAGGGUGCACCAUCGACCGAUCCUGAAGUUUACGGAAGGAUUUGAGUAAGAGCAUGGCUGUUGGGACCCGAAAGAUGGUGAACUAUGCUUGAAUAGGGUGAAGCCAGAGGAAACUCUGGUGGAGGCUCGCAGCGGUUCUGACGUGCAAAUCGAUCGUCAAAUUUGGGCAUAGGGGCGAAAGACUAAUCGAACUAUCUAGUAGCUGGUUCCUGCCAAU
rnacentral:rRNA from 1 species